rnacentral:rRNA from 1 species
UGGGCUUGACAUGCUAGGAUUAUCUCCGUGAAAGCGGAGUAGGCCCUUCGGGGUACAACUAGUACAGGUGCUGCAUGGCUGUCGUCAGCUCGUGUCGUGAGAUGUCGGGUUAAGUCCCUUAACGAGCGAAACCUUUGCCCUUAGUUACCAGCGGGUUAUGCCGGGGACUCUAAGGGGACUGCCGGUGUCAAACCGGAGGAAGGUGGAGAUGACGUCAAGUCCUCAUGGCCUUUAUGCCCAGGGCCACACACGUGCUACAAUGGCGUCCACAAAGCGAACCGAGAGCGCAAGCUGGAGGAAAUCGCACAAAUGACGCCCCAGUUCAGAUCGGAGGCUGCAACUCGCCUCCGUGAAGUUGGAAUCGCUAGUAAUCGCGGAUCAGCUACGCCGCGGUGAAUGUGUUCCUGAGCC